AUUUAUUUAAUAUUCGCUUAUAUAGAUUUGAAGAUAAGGUUCAAAUGUCUCUACUUAGCUCCCGUAAAGAGCUAACCGCUAUAAGUGAAUUACUUUUU
rnacentral:ncRNA from 1 species